rnacentral:rRNA from 1 species
GAGGGGGCAAACGUUGUUCGGAAUUACUGGGCGUAAAGGGCGCGUAGGCGGCCUGUUAAGUCGAACGUGAAAUCCCCGGGCUCAACCCGGGAACUGCGUCCGAAACUGGCAGGCUUGAAUCCGGGAGAGGGAUGUGGAAUUCCAGGUGUAGCGGUGAAAUGCGUAGAUAUCUGGAGGAACAUCGGUGGCGAAGGCGACAUCCUGGACCGGUAUUGACGCUGAGGCGCGAAAGCCAGGGGAGCAAACGGG